ensembl:lncRNA
AUUGGAUGAGCCGAUACCGGCGUGUUUUGGCAUCGCAGGUGUAAUUUACAAACAGCAAUUUAACAACUAAUUAACGCGUUUUGAAUGAUAGAACGUGUUUACUACGCUAUGUGAGUCGAACUGAAGAGAAGAAAGACAGUGCAGCUGUUUGGACUCUCAUUCUGAUGGCACCCAUUCACUGCAGAGCAUCCACUGCUGAGCAAGUGAUGCAAUGCUACGUUUCUCCAAAACUGAUGAAGAAACAAACUCCUCUACAUCUUGGAUGACCUGAGUGAAUCGAGCCCUUCCUGCGCUCUCAUUCAUGCCACUGCGAGACACAAACGGCACGCUCUCCUCCUCCUCGUCUUCCUCCUGUCCCUCGGCCUCCUGCUCGCCCCCUUCCCUCCUGCCGUCCUCUGGCCCCGGGUGAGGAGAGUAAGGGAGGGAUGCUAGCGCACAGUCUUCUGAAGGGUACUCACAAACUUUCUCCAGCUGAGCGUCAUCGAAACACACCUUCACCUAAACCAGAGGGACGGUGAGAGAAAGAGUGACAGACAGUCAGGAGAGACACAUUACAGCACAGUCUGGAAAAUCCAAGUGCUUAUGCUAAAAAAGAGUUAGAAAAGACUAAAACGUUUAUUUGGCAUAACAUCAGCUUUUGUUUUCCACAGAAGAAAUCUUACAGGUUUGGAACAUCAUGAGGCAUACAAUAAGCAGUGUCGGGUAAAUUAUUCUAAAAAAA